UGUUGUCAUAUAUUGUUCCUAUUAAAAAGGAAGCUGUUUAUAAGUCUACCUGUCUCUACGGAGUGCUGACCUGACAGCAGAUCCUACUGAAGCAUAGAAAGCUGACUAAGUACUCCACCCCUGGCCCACAGACAAAGAGAUAAUAUUAUACUUAUUAAUACCAAGCCAUUCCUGUUGUAUUCCCACCCUGUUGAUGGAUCCACCUGCAAGAAGCUGCUUUACGUUGACAAAAAUUGUCUUCCAAAGUGGCUCACACCAAUCAAAAAUAAAAGAAGAUACUUGUGGCAGUUACUGUCUAUAAAAAAAGGGACACAGGCUCUCAGGCAUACAAACAAAAAAGACAAGACACACAAACUGCUGUUUUCUCCCAUCUUGGCUUCGGGCAGAACUGAAUAUCGAAGUUUCUCAGAGGUCUUAUCUCUCCGUUCCUCGCUUCGAUGUCUCAGAACAGGCGACAUUCUGCUAGAAACCAUUCUGUCACAGAUCUUCACCAUUUCCCUCUCUUCCUAGGAAAAGGAAAGUACAGACUCAAGCUUGAUUGAGAGUCAAAUACUUGAACAGAAGCAAAGUGUGACGAUGACCCUCUGGUUUCUGUACAUGCUCAGAGUUCUUCACUGCUGCAGCUUGUAUGCAACUGUCAAGAAAACAAAAACCAGCUAAGGCAGGAGGAGGAAUCAAAGGAAAUAAACAUAAACGAAAAGGUGUAAUCUUGAACAAACAUCUGUACCCUGUUCAAAAUCUUGCUCCCCUAAUCUAAUGCCUUCGUCUGCCUCAACUGCAGCAAACUUGUCUCUCAGGUAUCAGUCUCUACAGCCACAGCAGCUGCGAUAACUCUCCAACGGUUUGACUUCAACCCCCGAAAGCGCAAUCCUCCAUUGUUUCCUGAGACAGACGGAUGCUAACCAGUCUUUAGAAUAGAGGUUAUUGUACGUGCUUAAUGAUCAUUUGCUGCCUGCAUAUUUGCAGCACUUGUAUCUUCUGUUUUCAUGUCCAUGUAAUAAACUGAACUUUACUGCU